UACGGUCACAUCACGUUAAAACAUUGGUUCCCGUACGAUCGCCGAAGUUAAGCAACGUCGAGCCUGGUCAGUACCUAGAUGGGUGACCGCGUGGGAAAUUAUAGGUGUUGUAAG